UUUGGCUAAGUUACUAAGGGCACACGGUGGAUGCCUAGGCACAGGGUGGCGAUGAAGGACGUGGCUACCUGCGAUAAGCCCCGGGGAGGCGGUAGCAGCCUGUGAUCCGGGGAUCUCCGAAUGGGGCAACCCAUCCCAAGUAAUGUUGGGAUAUCCCAGCGAAAGCUGGGAGGCGAACGGGGGGAAGUGAAAUAUCUCAGUACCCCCAGGAAAAGAAAGCAAAAGCGAUUCCCUUAGUAGCGACGAGCGAACGGGGAAGAGCCCAAACCGGCAAUGUGUAAAAGGCCAUGGCCAUUGCAUUGCCGGGGUUGCAGGAUAUCCACGGGCCGAGCCAUGGGCUAGGCCGGGAAGUUACAAAUUACCUCGUUAGCCGAAUGACUUGGAAAAGUCAGCCACAGAGGGUGAAAGCCCCGUAGGCGAAAACGAGGUAACUUCCUGGUGGAUAUUCCUGAGUACCACGGGAUAAGCGGAACCCCGUGGGAAGCUGGGAGAACCAUCUCCCAAGGCUAAAUACACCCCUGUGACCGAUAGCGCACCAGUACCGUGAGGGAAAGGUGAAAAGAACCCCGGAAGGGGAGUGAAAUAGAACCUGAAACCGUGUGCCUACAAACGGUGGGAGCGAGUCCCAUCUCGGUUUUUUCCGGGAUGGGAUGAGUGACCGCGUGCCUUUUGCUUAAUGAGCCAGGGAGUUGCCGUGCGUUGCGAGGUUAACAGCCUCAGGCUGGGAGCCGUAGCGAAAGCGAGUCCGAAUAGGGCGCUUAGUAACGCGCGGCAGACGCGAAACCGUGUGAUCUACCCAUGGCCAGGGUGAAGUGGGGGUAAUACCCCACGGAGGCCCGAACCGGUGUGGGUUGAAAACCGCUCGGAUGAGCUGUGGGUAGGAGUGAAAAGCUAAUCGAACACGGUGAUAGCUCGUACUCCCCGAAAUAGCUUUAGGGCUAGCCUCGCGUAACAGAGUGGUGGAGGUAGAGCACUGAUUGGGCUAGGGGCGUCACAACGCUACCAAACCCAGUCAAACUCCGAAUUCCACCACAUCGUUUCGCGGGAGUCAGGCAGUGGGGGAUAAGCUCCAUUGCCGAGAGGGGAAGAACCCAGACCGCCAGCUAAGGCCCCAAAGUACAGGCUAAGUGAUGCAAAGGAUGUCGGGUUGCUAAGACAGCCAGGAUGUUGGCUUAGAAGCAGCCAUUCAUUUAAAGAGUGCGUAACAGCUCACUGGUCGAGCGACCCGGCGCCGAAAAUUCUCGGGGCUUAAGCCUGUCGCCGAAGCUGCGGUCCCGAUAGAUUUUAGAAUCUAUCGGGAGGUAGGGGAGCAUUCUAUCCGGGUUGAAGUCACGGCGUGAGCCGUGAUGGACUGGAUAGAAGAGCGGAUCCUGGCAUUAGUAGCGAUAAGGAGGGUGAGAAUCCCUCCCGCCGAAAGCCUAAGGUUUCCUUGCGCAACGUUCGUCGGCGCAGGGUUAGCCGGCCCCUAAGGCGAGGCCGAAAGGCGUAGCCGAUGGGAAACGGGUUAAUAUUCCCGUGCCUGCUUGAAACCGUUUGACCGUGAGGGGUGACGCAGGAGCGAAGGGCCAGCCACCUGCCGGCUUAGGUGGUCUAAGCCUGUAGGAGGAGGGUGUAGGCAAAUCCGCACCCUCAUAACUCCGAGAGGCGAAUGGGAGGGCGCAAGCCCACAAACUGGCCUGGAGCACACUGCCAAGAAAAACCUCGCACGGGAGGUUUCAGGCAGACCGUACCGCAAACCGACACAGGUAGGCGGGGUGAGUAUCCUAAGGCGCGCGAGUGAGCCGUGGCUAAGGAACUCGGCAAAUUGGCCCCGUAACUUCGGAAGAAGGGGUGCCCCUAGUAGGUGAGUUCCCUUGCGGAACGAGCCCAACGGGGCCGCAGUGAAAGGGUCCAAGCGACUGUUUAUCAAAAACACAGGUCUCUGCUAACUCGUAAGAGGAGGUAUAGGGACUGACACCUGCCCGGUGCCGGAAGGUUAAGGGGAGGGGUUAGCCCGCAAGGGCGAAGCUCCGAACCGAAGCCCCGGUAAACGGCGGCCGUAACUAUAACGGUCCUAAGGUAGCGAAAUUCCUUGUCGGGUAAGUUCCGACCUGCACGAAUGGUGUAACGACUUGGACGCUGUCUCAGCCACGGG
rnacentral:rRNA from 1 species